GUUUAGACUAAUGAUUACACCCUUGGACUUCCAGUUCCGCUUGCAUUUUUGUGCGUCGGAGAGCGAAAAUGGGAGUAGAAAUCGAGACCAUAACCCCGGGUGAUGGCCAGACAUUUCCCAAAAAAGGGCAGACAUGCGUUGUGCAUUAUGUCGGCUCACUGACUGAUGGAACCAAGUUUGACUCAUCCCGGGACAGAGGCAAGCCUUUCAAGUUCAAGAUAGGCAAGCAGGAGGUCAUCCGUGGCUGGGAGGAGGGGGUUGGCCAGAUGAGUGUGGGCCAGAGGGCGACCCUGACCUGCACGCCGGACUUUGCUUAUGGCAGCAAAGGGCACCCUGGCAUCAUCCCACCCAACUCUACACUAAUCUUUGAUGUGGAGCUGAUGGGCCUGGAGUGAAGCCUGUGUGCGUGCACUUGUUACGUGUUUAAUUCCACUCAGAUUUUCAGGGUUGACUCCUAUCUCGGGAACAUGGAGGAAAAGGCUAAAGGAAGAUUAAUGCACUUGACUCCUGUAAAAGACUGUCUAAUAGCUUCAGCACUUCACUCUCCUUUCCAUUUAGAUUCAAAUGUGUUUUUGUCGCUUGCUUAAUACCUUAUCCUUGAUCCUUAUCCUUAUCCUUGAUCUAGCUUGUCGUAGAACACCCUAACAUAGGCCAUACCUUUCAGAUAUCAUGUCAUUUUAUUCUGUUAUGUAUGUUUAUGGUAUUGUUUUUUUCUUUUUACUUCAAAUAAGUAAGUCAUGCCUGCCAUCAGGGGUAAGUACUGACACAAUUUGGGAUAAAGUAUCAUUACACAAAUAUUAAAUUUGAUCUCAUUCUUGUGGCUCUGUGAGUGGCCUUGCUUUAGCAACUUUUUUGAAAAUGUGGACAUACGUGAUUUAAAAAAUAUAUAUAUGACUCUUUACCUAAAUGGAUCGGGUAAUGUAAUUUGGAUUACAGAAGUUGACUUAAAUUAAUAUUAGUGAUGUUUUGAUAUAGAUUUUUUUCAGUUGCAUCAACUUUCUGUAUGAAACACUGAAUAGCAUGGCACACACUGUUUGCAAGACCAUAUAUAUAUAUACAAAUGUGUAAUUAAAGGUCAUUAUUAUAGUACAGAACUCGCAGAGUAUGCUGACAAGUAUAGUUUCCUCUCAAGCAACAAAAUGGGUCAAUUUCCUAUGGGUGUGUUUGAAUAAAAAUAUCCUUUAACACGCA